ACAACACACACGCCGCAUGUAUAUGUAUGUGUGCAUGUAUAUAUAUAUAUAUAUAUGUCUAUAUAUAUAUAUAUAUAUACACACACAAACACAUACAUACACUGCUGUGUGUGUGUGAG